UGCAGUUUUCUUCUCACUCUGCAGCCCAAGACCGGUUACUCACUGAGGGUAAGCAGGGCUGAGCCUGGUUUGUACCUGGAUGGGAGACCACAUGGGAACACUAAGUUGUUGUUGGAA
ensembl:rRNA 5S_rRNA 5S ribosomal RNA